UAGGGAAUCUUCCGCAAUGGACGCAAGUCUGACGGAGCAACGCCGCGUGAGUGAAGAAGGAUUUCGGUUCGUAAAACUCUGUUGUUAGAGAAGAACAGCGCAUAGAGUAACUGUUAUGCGUGUGACGGUAUCUAACCAGAAAGCCACGGCUAACUACGUGCCAGCAGCCGCGGUAAUACGUAGGUGGCAAGCGUUGUCCGGAUUUAUUGGGCGUAAAGCGAGCGCAGGCGGUCAAUUAAGUCUGAUGUGAAAGCCCCCGGCUCAACCGGGGAGGGUCAAUGGAAACGGGUUGACUUGAGUGCAGAAGAGGAGAGUGGAAUUCCAUGUGGAGCGGUGAAAUGCGUAGAUAUAUGGAGGAACACCAGUGGCGAAGGCGACUCUCUGGUCUGUAACUGACGCUGAGGCUCGAAAGCGUGGGUAGCAAACAGG
rnacentral:rRNA from 1 species